UUUUCAACAGGCAUUAACUACUACUUUUAUCUUUUAAUUGCAGUCACAGCAGUAAAGUGGGUUGUUUUGUGAAUCACCUCUAGGAUGACACUCAACCAGAGGUCUAAGUUUUCACAGAGGGUGCAGUACCAGCAGAGCGAACAGUGAGGCUAAUCAAGAGUGCAACCAACCUCACUUCACACACUGAGAGAGCAUUGCAGAAUUACGCACCCAGGGCUAUUUGAUCAGCGUACAAGAGUUCAGGUCAAGCCCCCUGAGAUUGCUCUUCCAUCUGGUUCUACGUCUGCCUCCUUCCCUGGAUCUGCACUGCAUUUGC
rnacentral:lncRNA from 1 species